rnacentral:rRNA from 1 species
CCUACGGGAGGCAGCAGUGAGGAAUAUUGGUCAAUGGGCGCAAGCCUGAACCAGCCAAGUCGCGUGAGGGGUGACGGUCCUAUGGAUUGUAAACCUCUUUUGUCGGGGAGCAAGGCCCGCCACGUGUGGCGGGAAGGAGAGUACCCGAAGAAAAAGCAUCGGCUAACUCCGUGCCAGCAGCCGCGGUAAUACGGAGGAUGCGAGGGUUAUCCGGAUUUAUUGGGUUUAAAGGGUGCGUAGGCGGAAGGUUAAGUCAGCGGUAAAAUGUCGGGGCGCAACACCGGCCUGCCGUUGAAACUGGUCUUCUUGAGUGAGCGAGAAGUAUGCGGAAUGCGUGGUGUAGCGGUGAAAUGCAUAGAUAUCACGCAGAACUCCGAUUGCGAAGGCAGCAUACCGGCGCUCAACUGACGCUGAGGCACGAAAGCGUGGGGAUCGAACAGGAUUAGAUACCCCAGUAGUC